CAAAUACAGCUACCUCUGACGAAAACUCUGGUAUCAGAGCAUAACAUCCAUCCAAGGUUUAAAAAAUAAAAAGAAAAUCUUUUAAAAACGGUUUUGUCAAGAACCGAUCUAAAAAGAACAACAAAGGAUGACAUGGUAUUUGAAAAAGACACGUGGCUAAACGAGAGGUAUUUGAUUUAUCAAGUGAACAACAUUUGCUGAAAGUUACUUAACUUUCCCGCCACAAAGUUAGAGAAAAGCAAUCCGUAAACGUAGCAAGUAGAAAUACUAGUAGAAAAUACCAGAGAGUAAAAUACAAAAUAAAUACAUAGAUUUAGGAUGCAUGAGAAAUCCACGUGAUUAUCUGACAAGAUUGCGG
rnacentral:lncRNA from 1 species